CCCCUCUCAGGGUCACGGCUGGAGAGUUUUCAGUACUUUUCCAGUCUCCACUAUGGGAGGAAGAAUCAAGCAGAGGCCUUACCCAUUCCAUUCCUAGCUUGGGCAGCGGCUAGUGAAUGGAAGACAAUCUGCUACAAGU